rnacentral:rRNA from 1 species
UACGUAGGGCGCAAGCGUUGUCCGGAAUUAUUGGGCGUAAAGAGCUCGUAGGCGGCUUGUCACGUCGGGUGUGAAAGCCCGGGGCUUAACCCCGGGUCUGCAUUCGAUACGGGCUAGCUAGAGUGUGGUAGGGGAGAUCGGAAUUCCUGGUGUAGCGGUGAAAUGCGCAGAUAUCGGGAGGAACACCAGUGGCGAAGGCGACUCUCUGGCCUGUAACUGACACUGAGGCGCGAAAGCGUGGGGAGCGAACAGG